GACGAACGCUGGCGGCAUGCCUAAUACAUGCAAGUCGAGCGAACAGAUGAAGUGCUUGCACUUCUGACGUUAGCGGCGAACGGGUGAGUAACACGUAAGGAAUCUACCUAUAAGCGGGGGAUAACAUUCGGAAACGGGUGCUAAUACCGCAUAAUAUCUUCUUCCGCAUGGAAGAAGAUUGAAAGACGGCUCUGCUGUCACUUAUAGAUGACCUCGCGGUGCAUUAGUUAGUUGGUGGGGUAACGGCCUACCAAGACGAUGAUGCAUAGCCGACCGGAGAGGGUGAUCGGCCAAAUUGGGACUGAGACACGGCCCAAACUCCUACGGGAGGCAGCAGUAGGGAAUCUUCCGCAAUGGGCGAAAGCCUGACGGAGCAAUGCCGCGUGAGUGAAGAAGGCCUUCGGGUCGUAAAACUCUGUUAUAAGAGAAGAACAAAUUGUAGAGUAACUGCUACAGUCUUGACGGUAUCUUAUCAGAAAGCCACGGCUAACUACGUGCCAGCCGCCGCAGUAA
rnacentral:rRNA from 1 species